rnacentral:rRNA from 1 species
GUGGGGAAUCUUCCGCAAUGGACGAAAGUCUGACGGAGCGACGCCGCGUGAGUGAAGAAGGCCUUCGGGUCGUAAAGCUCUGUCAUCAGGGACGAACGGCCGGUGGAGUGGAAAGCCACCGGAUUGACGGUACCUGAGAAGGAAGCCACGGCUAACUACGUGCCAGCAGCCGCGGUAAUACGUAGGUGGCAAGCGUUGUCCGGAAUUAUUUGGCGUAAAGCGCGCGCAGGUGGGAUCUUAAGUCCAUUUUUAAAGUUCGGAGCUCAACUCCGUGAUGGGAUGGAAACUGGGAUUCUUGAGUACCGGAGAGGAAAGCGGAAUUCCCCGGGUAGCGGUGAAAUGCGUAGAUAUGGGGAGGAACACCAGUGGCGAAGGCGGCUUUCUGGACGGUGUCUGACACUGAGGCGCGAAAGCCAGGGGAGCGAACGGGAUUAGAAACCCGGGUAGUCC